CGCGUAGGCGGUGUGGCAAGUCAGGUGUGAAACCUCCAGGCUCAACUUGGAGCUUGCAUCUGAAACUGCCGUGCUAGAGUGUGGGAGAGGAGAGUGGAAUUCCUGGUGUAGCGGUGAAAUGCGUAGAUAUCAGGAGGAACACCGGUGGCGAAGGCGGCUCUCUGGACCACAACUGACGCUGAGGCGCGAAAGCUAGGGGAGCAAACAGGAUUAGAUACCCUGGUAGUCCUAGCUGUAAACGAUGAACACUUGGUAUAGCGGGUAUCGAAUCCCGCCGUGCCGGAGCUAACGCAUUAAGUGUUCCGCCUGGGGAGUACGGUCGCAAGGCUGAA
rnacentral:rRNA from 1 species